CUGCCGGUGACAAACCGGAGGAAGGUGGGGAUGACGUCAAGUCAUCAUGGCCCUUACGGCCUGGGCUACACACGUGCUACAAUGGUCGGUACAGAGGGUUGCCAAGCCGCGAGGUGGAGCUAAUCCCAUAAAACCGAUCGUAGUCCGGAUCGCAGUCUGCAACUCGACUGCGUGAAGUCGGAAUCGCUAGUAAUCGCGAAUCAGAAUGUCGCGGUGAAUACGUUCCCGGGCCUUGUACACACCGCCCGUCACACCAUGGGAGUGGGUUGCACCAGAAGUAGCUAGUCUAACCUUCGGGAGGACGGUUACCACGGUGUGAUUCAUGACUGGGGUGAAGUCGAAACAAGAUUCUAUGUCCAC
rnacentral:rRNA from 1 species